rnacentral:miRNA from 1 species
CGGCGUUGCGCUGUGCAAAGUCUG